GAUGAACGCUGGCGGCGUGCCUAAUACAUGCAAGUCGAGCGAACGGACGAGAAGCUUGCUUCUCUGAUGUUAGCGGCGGACGGGUGAGUAACACGUGGAUAACCUACCUAUAAGACUGGGAUAACUUCGGGAAACCGGAGCUAAUACCGGAUAAUAUUUUGAACAGCAUGGUUCAAAAGUGAAAGAAGGUCUUGCUGUCACUUAUAGAUGGAUCCGCGCUGCAUUAGCUAGUUGGUAAGGUAACGGCUUACCAAGGCAACGAUGCAUAGCCGACCUGAGAGGGUGAUCGGCCACACUGGAACUGAGACACGGUCCAGACUCCUACGGGAGGCAGCAGUAGGGAAUCUUCCGCAAUGGGCGAAAGCCUGACGGAGCAACGCCGCGUGAGUGAUGAAGGUCUUCGGAUCGUAAAACUCUGUUAUUAGGGAAGAACAUAUGUGUAAGUAACUGUGCACAUCUUGACGGUACCUAAUCAGAAAGCCACGGCUAACUACGUG
rnacentral:rRNA from 1 species